rnacentral:rRNA from 1 species
UUAUAAAAAGUUUUAUUAUUGAUAAUUAAAAGAGUUUUAUUUUAUAUAUAAAAGGUAAUUUAAGAGUUUAUAAUUUUAUGUUAGUACUGAAAAGGAAAAUUAAUAGCAAUUAUGGAAAAAGAAUAUAAUAUUAGUACCUUUUGCAUUAGGGUAUUACAAAUAAUAAUAUAAAUAUAUUAAUUCUAGAAAAUUAUUUGAGCUAUUAUUAUAAACAAAUUUUGCGUGAUAUAGUAAAAGGUGAAUAUGAUAAUAGAGGUGAAAUGCUUAUCGAAAUAAUAGAUAUCUAGUUUGAGAAAGUAAAGUUUUAUACUUUUCUAUAAAAAAGUAAAUUUGAUUUUAAUUUUAUAGUUUUUUAAUUUGGGGAUAAGCUUAAAUUAAGUUAAAGAUAAAAGUUAUUAUAAAUAAGGGGAAGGAAUAAAAUUAUCUUUUUAUUAUUAUUAAUUACCUUAUAAAUUAAAAUAAUAUUUUUUAAAGGGAAUUUUUGUUUAAUUUUUUAUGAAAGGUAUGAUGUAAUAAUUAGUAUAAAUUUGUUAUUUAAAUUUAAUGAACUCGGCAAAUUAUUUAGUGACUGUUUAUCAAAAACAUUGUAUUUUGAAUUUAAUAAAAUAUAAGUUCUGCUCAAUGAAAUAUUAAAUUGCUGUAGUAUUUUGACUAUACAAAGGUAUUGAAAUAAGGUUUUAAAUGAAUGCUAAAAGAAUGAACUAACAGUAAAUAACUUUAUUUAUUUUAAAAUAUAAAAUUUUAUUUAAAAUUGAAAAAGAUUUUAUGUUUAUUUGGGACGAAAAGACCCUAUGAAUUUUUGAUUUUUAAUUUAUUUUAUCAAAAUUAAAAAUCUUUGUUGGGGUGACAAAUAAAGAAUGCAUAUCUUUCUUUUUUAAAAUGAUCCAUUAAUAAUGAUAAAAGGAAAUAAAUACUCUAGGGUUAACAGCGUAAUAAUUUUGGAUAGUUCAUAUUGAUAAAAUGGAUUGCGACCUCGAUGUUGGAUUAAGAUACUUAUUUAUUGAAGAAGGUAAAUUAAGAAGUUUGUUCAACUUUUAAAGUCUUACAUGAUCUGAGUUCAGACCGACGUAAGUCAGGUUGGUUUUUAUCUAAAUAGUAAAAGUAGUGAUUAAUAGUACGAAAGGAAUUUUUUCAUUUAAGGUUUUAAAGUAAUUUAUGAAAAA